UACGAAGGGGGCUAGCGUUGUUCGGAAUUACUGGGCGUAAAGCGCACGUAGGCGGACAUUUAAGUCAGGGGUGAAAUCCCGGGGCUCAACCCGGAACUGCCUUUGAUACUGCAAGUCUCGAGUCCGAUAGAGGUGAGUGGAAUUCCUAGUGUAGAGGUGAAAUUCGUAGAUAUUAGGAAGAACACCAGUGGCGAAGGCGGCUCACUGGAUCGGUACUGACGCUGAGGUGCGAAAGCGUGGGGAGCAAACAGG
rnacentral:rRNA from 1 species